AUUGAACGCUGGCGGCAGGCUUAACACAUGCAAGUCGAGCGGCGAGAGGUAGCUUGCUACCGAUCUUAGCGGCGGACGGGGGAGUAAUGCUUAGGAAUCUGCCUAUUAGUGGGGGACAACAUUUCGAAAGGAAUGCUAAUACCGCAUACGUCUUACGGGAGAAAGCAGGGGAUCUUCGGACCUUGCGCUAAUAGAUGAGCCUAAGUCGGAUUAGCUAGUUGGUGGGGUAAAGGCUUACCAAGGCGACGAUCUGUAGCGGGUCUGAGAGGAUGAUCCGCCACACUGGGACUGAGACACGGCCCAGACUCCUACGGGAGGCAGCAGUGGGGAAUAUUGGACAAUGGGCGGAAGCCUGAUCCAGCCAUGCCGCGUGUGUGAAGAAGGCCUUAUGGUUGUAAAGCACUUUAAGCGAGGAGGAGGCUACUUUAGUUAAUACCUAGAGAUAGUGGACGUUACUCGCAGAAUAAGCACCGGCCAACUCUGUGCCAGCCGCCGCGGUAAGAC
rnacentral:rRNA from 1 species